rnacentral:rRNA from 1 species
CCUACGGGAGGCAGCAGUGAGGAAUAUUGGUCAAUGGGCUUACGCCUGAACCAGCCAAGUAGCGUGAGGGAAGACUGCCCUAUGGGUUGUAAACCUCUUUUGUCAGGGAGUAAUUGGCGCUACGUGUGGGGUUAUCUAUGGUACCUGAAGAAAAAGCAUCGGCUAACUCCGUGCCAGCAGCCGCGGGAAUACGGAGGAUGCGAGCGUUAUCCGGAGUUAUUGGGUUUAAAGGGAGCGUAGGGGGAUUGUUAAGUCAGUGGUGAAAGUUUGCGGCUCAACCGUAAAAUUGCAGUUGAAACUGGCAGUCUUGAGUACAGUAGAGGUGGGCGGAAUGCGUGGUGUAGCGGUGAAAUGCUUAGAUAUCACGAAGAACUCCGAUUGCGAAGGCAGCUCACUGGACUGCAACUGACACUGAGGCUCGAAAGUGUGGGUAUCAAACAGGAUUAGAUACCCUGGUAGUC